rnacentral:rRNA from 1 species
GAACGGGUGAGUAAAACGUGGGUGAUCUGCCCUGCACUCUGGGAUAAGCCUGGGAAACUGGGUCUAAUACCGGAUAGGACCACACACUUCAUGGUGAGUGGUGCAAAGCUUUUGCGGUGUGGGAUGAGCCCGCGGCCUAUCAGCUUGUUGGUGGGGUAAUGGCCCACCAAGGCGACGACGGGUAGCCGGCCUGAGAGGGUGACCGGCCACACUGGGACUGAGAUACGGCCCAGACUCCUACGGGAGGCAGCAGUGGGGAAUAUUGCACAAUGGGCGCAAGCCUGAUGCAGCGACGCCGCGUGAGGGAUGACGGCCUUCGGGUUGUAAACCUCUUUCAGUAGGGACGAAGCGAAAGUGACGGUACCUACAGAAGAAGGACCGGCCAACUACGUGCCAGCAGCCGCGGUAAUACGUAGGGUCCGAGCGUUGUCCGGAAUUACUGGGCGUAAAGAGCUCG